GCAGACGCUCUGGUACCAGGAGUGCGGCGCUGGGACGUCCAGAUCCAAGGAGAACGCGUCCAUGGACGGCGGAGGAAGCGCGAGGUUGAGAUAGUGGCGGCGACGACGGGGCGAUGGAUGGGCUUCGCGCUUCUGGAGGGGAAGGAGACAGCAUUAAUGUUGACACACUAUGGACCACUAUUCUUGUCCAGUGCCCACAAGAGAUACAAGUGUGAAACAUGUUAGCUUCAAAUCAUCCCCUCAUGUUCAUCAUAAUUCGAAGCUUUUACUAUAUCACAAUGAUUGAGAAAAACAAUUUAACAGCACGAAGAAUUCUUGAACGUCUUCUGAUUCUUCCGUCGACUGUUCUCAAGACUUUGCUGCAUUCACAAAUUUUAUACUGUUCAACAAUCGGACCUACUCCACAUAAGUUUGCUACUAGAAGAAUUUGUUUCUAGAAAAUGUUGCACAUCAUAAUCUGAUUCUUCUGAUCAUUGGUGAAAGGAUAGUAGCCUGUGCUUUUAGGCUCUGCAGGUAUGUUUUUGACUUGUUGAACUUGUAUUAGGAAAAUUGAGUGGCUACUUCACUAAAUCUUAAAGGAAAACAUAUUCAGCUAAAGCAAGUUUAGAACGUGAUACAUAUUCAGCAUCUCUGCCAAUUGAUUGUAUUAUUACCAUU